rnacentral:rRNA from 1 species
GGUGGAGCAUGUGGUUUAAUUCGACGCAACGCGAAGAACCUUACCGGGGUUUGAACUGUGCAGGAAUCUUGCCAGAGAUGGAAGAGUCCUCUUCGGAGGUCUGUACAGAGGUGCUGCAUGGCUGUCGUCAGCUCGUGUCGUGAGAUGUUGGGUUAAGUCCCGCAACGAGCGCAACCCUUAUCCUUGUUUGCCAGCGAGUAAUGUCGGGAACUCCANGGAGACUGUCGGCGAAAAGCCGGAGGAAGGUGGGGAUGACGUCAAGUCCUCAUGGCCUUUAUGUCCCGGGCUACACACGUGCUACAAUGGGUGGUACAAAGAGCAGCCAACUCGCAAGAGUGAGCGAAUCUCAAAAAGCCAUCCUCAGUUCGGAUUGCAGUCUGCAACUCGACUGCAUGAAGGUGGAAUCGCUAGUAAUCGUGGAUCAGCAUGCCACGGUGAAUACGUUGCCGGGGCCUUGUACACACCGCCCGUCACAUCACGAAAGUGGGCUGUACUAGAAGCCGCCGAGCUAACCUGUCAAGGGAGGCAGGCGUCG